rnacentral:rRNA from 1 species
AAUCAACGCUGGCGGCGUGCCUAACACAUGCAAGUCGAACGAGAAAGUGGAGCAAUCCAUGAGUAAAGUGGCGACCGGGUGAGUAACACGUGACUAACCUACCUUUCAGUGGGGAAUAACCUCGGGAAACCGGGGCUAAUACCGCAUAAUGUCUUCGGACCAAAGGAGCAAUUCGCUGGAAGAGGGGGUCGCGGCCGAUUAGCUAGUUGGCGGGGUAACGGCCCACCAAGGCAAUGAUCGGUAGCCGGCCUGAGAGGGCGCACGGCCACACUGGAACUGAAACACGGUCCAGACUCCUACGGGAGGCAGCAGUGGGGAAUUUUGCGCAAUGGGGGAAACCCUGACGCAGCAACGCCGCGUGGAGGAUGAAGCCCCUUGGGGUGUAAACUCCUUUCGAUCGGGACGAUGAUGACGGUACCGGAUGAAGAAGCACCGGCUAACUCUGUGCCAGCAGCCGCGGUAAUACAGAGGGUGCAAGCGUUGUUCGGAAUUAUUGGGCGUAAAGGGUGCGUAGGCGGUGCGGUAAGUCUGUUGUGAAAUCUCCGGGCUCAACUCGGAGCCUGCAACGGAAACUGCCGUGCUGGAGUAUGGGAGAGGUGAGUGGAAUUCACGGUGUAGCGGUGAAAUGCGUAGAUAUCGGGAGGAACACCUGUGGCGAAAGCGGCUCACUGGACCAUUACUGACGCUGA